rnacentral:rRNA from 1 species
AUUGAACGCUGGCGGCGUGCCUAACACAUGCAAGUCGAGCGGUAACAGGUGUAGCAAUACAUGCUGACGAGCGGCGAACGGGUGAGUAAUGCUUUGGAAUCUUCCCAGUAGUGGGGAAUAACCAGUCGAAAGAUUGGCUAAUACCGCAUACGUCUGUAAAGGGAAAGCGGGGGCUCGUAAGACCUCGCGCUAUCGGAUGAGCCAAAGUCGGAUUAGCUAGNGGUGGGGUAAUGGCCUACCAAGGCGACAAUCCGUAGCUGGUCUGAGAGGACGACCAGCCACACCGGAACUGAGACACGGUCCGGACUCCUACGGGAGGCAGCAGUGGGGAAUAUUGGACAAUGGGGGAAACCCUGAUCCAGCGACGCCGCGUGUGUGAAGAAGGCCUGCGGGUUGUAAAGC